UUUAUGGAGAGUUUGAUCCUGGCUCAGGAUGAACGCUGGCGGUGUGCCUAAUACAUGCAAGUCGAGCGAACAGACGAGGAGCUUGCUCCUCUGACGUUAGCGGCGGACGGGUGAGUAAC
rnacentral:rRNA from 1 species